rnacentral:rRNA from 1 species
AGUCGAGCGGAACGAUGGUAGCUUGCUACCAGGCGUCGAGCGGCGGACGGGUGAGUAAUACUUAGGAAUCUACCAAGUAGUGGGGGAUAGCUCGGGGAAACUCGAAUUAAUACCGCAUACGACCUACGGGAGAAAGGGGGCAGUUUACUGCUCUCGCUAUUAGAUGAGCCUAAGUCGGAUUAGCUAGAUGGUGGGGUAAAGGCCUACCAUGGCGACGAUCUGUAGCUGGUCUGAGAGGAUGAUCAGCCACACCGGGACUGAGACACGGCCCGGACUCCUACGGGAGGCAGCAGUGGGGAAUAUUGGACAAUGGGGGAAACCCUGAUCCAGCCAUGCCGCGUGUGUGAAGAAGGCCUUUUGGUUGUAAAGCACUUUAAGCAGUGAAGAAGACUCCGUGGUUAAUACCCACGGACGAUGACAUUAGCUGCAGAAUAAGCACCGGCUAACUCUGUGCCAGCAGCCGCGGUAA